rnacentral:rRNA from 1 species
GACGAACGCUGGCGGCGUGCUUAACACAUGCAAGUCGAACGAAGAGCGAUGGAAGCUUGCUUCUAUCACUCUUAGUGGCGAACGGGUGAGUAACGCGUAAUCAACCUGCCCUUCAGAGGGGGACAACAGUUGGAAACGACUGCUAAUACCGCAUACGAUCUAAUCUCGGCAUCGAGGAUAGAUGAAAGGUGGCCUCUACAUGUAAGCUAUCACUGAAGGAGGGGAUUGCGUCUGAUUAGCUAGUUGGAGGGGUAACGGCCCACCAAGGCGAUGAUCAGUAGCCGGUCUGAGAGGAUGAACGGCCACAUUGGGACGGAGACACGGCCCAGACUCCUACGGGAGGCAGCAGUGGGGAAUCUUCCGCAAGGGACGAAAGUCUGACGGAGCAACGCCGCGUGAGUGAUGACGGCCUUCGGGUUGUAAAGCUCUGUUAAUCGGGACGAAAGGCCUUCUUGCGAAUAGGGAGAAGGAUUGACGGUACCGGAAUAGAAAGCCACGGCUAACUACGUG